UACGUAGGUGGCAAGCGUUGUCCGGAUUUACUGGGCGUAAAGGGUGUGUAGGCGGUUCUUUAAGUUUGGCGUGAAAUCUCCCGGCUCAACCGGGAGGGUGCGUCGAAUACUGAGGGACUAGAGUACGGGAGAGGAAAGUGGAAUUCCUGGUGUAGCGGUGAAAUGCGUAGAUAUCAGGAGGAACACCGGUGGUGUAGACGGCUUUCUGGACCGUAACUGACGCUGAGACACGAAAGCGUGGGUAGCAAACAGG
rnacentral:rRNA from 1 species